rnacentral:rRNA from 1 species
CUUGAGCUAAUACCGUAUAAUGACUUCGGUCCAAAGAUUUAUCGCCUGAGGAUGAGCCCGCGUAGGAUUAGCUAGUUGGUGAGGUAAAAGCUCACCAAGGCGACGAUCCUUAGCUGGUCUGAGAGGAUGAUCAGCCACACUGGGACUGAGACACGGCCCAGACUCCUACGGGAGGCAGCAGUGGGGAAUAUUGGACAAUGGGCGAAAGCCUGAUCCAGCAAUGCCGCGCGAGUGAUGAAGGCCUUGGGGUUGUAAAGCUCUUUUACCCGGGAUGAUAAUGACAGUACCGGGAGAAUAAGCCCCGGCUAACUCCGUGCCAGCAGCCGCGGUAAUACGGAGGGGGCUAGCGUUGUUCGGAAUUACUGGGCGUAAAGCGCGCGUAGGCGGCUUUGUCAAGUUAGAGGUGAAAGCCCGGAGCUCAACUCCGGAACUGCCUUUAAGACUGCAU